rnacentral:rRNA from 1 species
CCUACGGGUGGCUGCAGUGGGGAAUAUUGGACAAUGGGGGCAACCCUGAUCCAGCCAUGCCGCGUGUGUGAAGAAGGCCCUCGGGUUGUAAAGCACUUUCAGUGAGGAAGAACGCCUGGUGGUUAAUACCCAUCAGGAAAGACAUCACUCACAGAAGAAGCACCGGCUAACUCCGUGCCAGCAGCCGCGGUAAUACGGAGGGUGCGAGCGUUAAUCGGAAUUACUGGGCGUAAAGCGCGCGUAGGUGGCUUGAUAAGCCGGUUGUGAAAGCCCCGGGCUCAACCUGGGAACGGCAUCCGGAACUGUCAAGCUAGAGUGCAGGAGAGGAAGGUAGAAUUCCCGGUGUAGCGGUGAAAUGCGUAGAGAUCGGGAGGAAUACCAGUGGCGAAGGCGGCCUUAUGGACUGACACUGACACUGAGGUGCGAAAGCGUGGGUAGCAAACAGGAUUAGAUACCCGAGUAGUC